CCUACGGGAGGCAGCAGUGGGGAAUAUUGCACAAUGGGCGAAAGCCUGAUGCAGCAACGCCGCGUGAAGGAAGACGGUUUUCGGAUUGUAAACUUCUGUUCUUAGGGAAGAAAAAUGACGGGAACUAAGGAGCAAGCCACGGCUAACUACGUGCCAGCAGCCGCGGUAAGACGUAGGUGGCAAGCGUUGUCCGGAAUUACGGGGUGUAAAGGGAGCGUAGGCGGGAAGCCAAGUCAGCUGUGAAAACUACGGGCUUAACCUGUAGACUGCAGUUGAAACUGGCUUUCUUGAGUGAAGUAGAGGUUGGCGGCAUUCCGCGUGUAGCGGUGAAAUGCGUAGAUAUUCGGAGGAACACCGGUGGCGAAGGCGGCCGACUGGGCUUUAACUGACGCUGAGGCUCGAAAGUGUGGGGAGCAAACAGGAUUAGAUACCCUAGUAGUC
rnacentral:rRNA from 1 species